UGCUGAAGUGGGACGGCUCUUGCUACUGAGUGUCCUGAGAACCUGUGAUGAUCUCAGAGCUGCCAGACAAGCUCUCAUCCGGCCUGCAGACAGGACGAGCCCUGCCCCUGGAGUGCGUGCACACAGCAGUCGCUGCAAUAAUUGGAUUAUUCCCGUUUAAAGCUCCGCUUACUCACGCUGCAAGGCAAAGCUUGUCUUCACCCGAAAGAGACAUCUUAGGCAAGUUAUCAGGAACCCGCUCAUAAAAGUGCCUUCCAGGAGAGCUCUGGGUUAAAUAUAAGGCGUGAUGACAACAAACAAAGCCACGUGAUUAUUAAGACGCCUUCAUGCGACACGUCCUUAAGUAUGUAAGAGCAGAGCUCACUGAACGGAACGCGGGGAAAUGUAUACACACGGAGAGCCAGCAGGUACAUCUCUCCACCCUGGAGCUCACUGCCAGUGCCCUGUCACCGAGAAGCAUCUGCCCUGCAAA
rnacentral:lncRNA from 1 species